rnacentral:tmRNA from 1 species
GGGGCUGACUGGCUUUGACAGCGAGAUGAGCCUUUGUGUAAGCAUGCAGAGAGAUGUCAUCUAUCUCUAUAAUCCACGGUGGCAAAAUAUAAUUGGCGAGAAUAACUACGCUCUUGCUGCCUAAUCGAAGUACAGUAGAUUACUGGCUUAAUCUCCGCUCAAGGUAGUGGAGACAAGACAUCACCCCAAGGUCGUAAUCCCGAGACCAAGGAACCGGUGGUGCAGAUAAAUCGGGAAUAGUCUGGCGGCAGCCUCGUGCCUCAGAUGAAACUUUAGAGGAUACGGAGUGACUUGGUGGUCUGGGUCUUGGUCCCUCCCGACAAUGAAGGCCAGAAUAAGCAUGUAGAAAGCACAGAUGUUCCCCGUUUGGACGAGGGUUCGAACCCCUCCAGCUCCACAU